CGUGCGGUGGGCGCCGCCGGAGGUGGCGGACGCGUACUGCGCGUCGCGGCUCGGCGGGGACGGGGGAUCGACGUUCGGGACGCUGGCGCACAC
rnacentral:tRNA from 1 species